GUGAUGAAACAAGUAGCCAGAACUGAAGAAGCCAUAGAAGCUAUCAGGUCUUUCAGACGCCGUUGCUCCAAACAAGCUCAAGAAUCUCUCGAUAAUGUCCUCAUUGACUUGUACAAGAAAUGUGGCAUGGUAGAGGAGCAAAUAGAUUUGCUAAAGAGGAAGCUAAGAUUGAUUUACCAAGGAGAGGCAUUCAAUGGAAAACCCACAAAAACUGCUCGCUCUCAUGGCAAGAAAUUUCAGGUUUCUGUCAAGCAAGAAAUCUCCAGAUUACUGGGAAACCUGGGCUGGGCCUAUAUGCAGAAAUCAAACUUCAUGGCAGCAGAGGUUGUGUAUCAGAAAGCCCAAAUGAUCGACCCAGACGCAAACAAGGCUUGCAACUUGAGCCUUUGUCUGAUAAAGCAAGCCCGAUUUGACGAGGCUUGUAUGGUUCUCCAAAAUGUCCUGGAAGGUAAACUUCCGGGUUCAGAGGAUUGUAAAUCCAGGAAAAGAGCUGAAGAAUUGCUAAUGGAAGUGGAAUCUAGACAACCCCCACCUGAACUAAAAGAUAUAUUGGGCUUUGAUCUUGAAGAUGAUGAUUUUGUGAAGGGGCUUCAGCAAAUGAAGAUAUCUCUUCAAAGAUGGGCAGCCUUUUUGAUCUUGAUGGAGCCCAUUCAUUCAUCAUUUUUUCAAGUCCUUUUACAAAGUCAUCAUCAUCAAGAUCAAAGCCCAAUAUUUCUGUUAG
rnacentral:misc_RNA from 1 species